UACGACAGCACCCGACGUCAAGGAUUUAGUUUCCUUUGCCACGAGAAGGUGGUCGAUAUUUUUACAAAUGGAGAUUAAAUGAUGAAUUACUACAAUACGGAGGUACAUUUCUCAAGGAUUGAUCAAGAACAACAUUGAGGAUUGAAGAUUUGUUUACUUAAACUGAGAUUUGAAAUUUGUUUUGUUCUUGAUCAAUGAAUUCCAUGAAUAUUUCGCCU